UCCUUGUUUUCUUCCCUUUCUUUCUCUUAUUUUUCUGUCUUUUUCUUCUCUUCUUUGUUGCUGCGAAGAUCACCACGUUGCUGUCCUUUUCUGCCCAAAAAAGGCAACCACCUUCUUGCCAAAACGCAGCCACCACACCCCCCUUAUAUUGAUCUAGGGUUAGGUUAAGAGGGGGUGUGGGCUAUGAGCUGAUAAAGCACACAUGGGCUGAAUAUGGGCUGUCAGCCCAAC
rnacentral:lncRNA from 1 species